AACACAUGUGUUAAUGCAGGUGAAAGUGCAGCUGUCAACUUUAAUUAAAAGACCCUGAUGGCAUUAAAAACUCAACCGGAGACUUGUCCUGCCCCUAAUUUAAUGGACAGGGCAUCCUAGUUCCAAUCGGGAGGUUAGCUGAAGCCCCAGGUUGAGGGCCUUGUUGAAGAAACGCAGCCGGGACCUGGAGUAAGCGGGGUUUCAAGUCGGAGUCGUGAUAUGGCGGACGAAAGGCAUUAUGCUGACGAAGGGCUCGGUCUUCUGGAAGGGGAGUUUACGGGGGACCAUAAUGUUGAAGACCCCGAGUUGGAGGCCAUCAAAGCUAGGGUUCGUGAAAUGGAGGAAGAAGCAGAGAAACUGAAAGAAGUACAAUAUGAAACUGAGAAACAUCUGAUAAUGAGCCCACAGGCAAGUGGUGUCUUCUACCCAAUGACUGCUGAAGAGAAGGUGGAUGCUGAUAACAGAUCGGUUUAUGUGGGCAAUGUGGAUUAUGGUUCGACUGCAGAUGAGCUGGAAGUUCACUUCAACGGCUGUGGUCCAGUCAAUCGUGUGACCAUUCUGUGUGAUAAAUUCUCCGGACAUCCUAAGGGGUUUGCAUACAUUGAGUUUUCAGACCGGGACUCUGUGAAGACAGCCAUGGCUUUGGAUGAGACACUGUUUAGGGGUAGAAUCAUAAAGGUGCUCCCAAAAAGGACCAACAUGCCUGGGAUCAGUUCGACGGACCGGGGGAGUCAAAGGGGCGGGCGCCUGAGGGGGCGGGGCUUCCGCUCCUCCAGAUACAACAGCAGCGGCUACCAGCCCAGACAGCGGGGCCGCUCCUUCAGGUCAGCAUUGCCACAAUCGGGGGCUCGGGUGUCCACAUGAGGAAAAAGGACACAGGUAAAUCCUGCAGGUCCUGACCAACUUUUAAAGAAGUCUUUCAAAGUCCUUCGCAAGGGGAGGUGGAAGAAUCCCAACUUGGUAUUCUCCUUAUUAAGUAAAUGGAAACUAAAAUGGAGAGAUGUGGAUGUGAAGAUCACAUUGCUAUGAAGUUCAUUUGUUACUGUGUUGUACAUUUUCAAAACUACUGUAUGUGAGGUGUUAGUCUUUUGGCAUGUCUGCAGGAGCAAGUCUACCACAAUCUCUAACCUGUUUCUUAGCAGCAUAGCACUCCUUUUCUGUAGAUCACUGUAUAAUCGUAUGUCAUCGUAUUGUACAUAUACAAUAUCUUUUUUUUGGGGGGGGGGUCAAACUGGUACCAGAGUAGCCAACGCUGGUUUAAAUAUGCUUCUGUACUGUAAUGAAUUGUGGUUGUAUGAGAUAUGUUUUGUCGUUUUGUAUAUUACAUAUUAAAGGCUUUGUUUUAUUACAAAAAUUGUAACUUUCUGUAAUAAAAUAUACAUAUAGUGAACAA